GCGUUGUUCGGAAUUAUUGGGCGUAAAGGGUGCGUAGGCGGCUUGAUAAGUUUCAUGUGAAAUCUCUGGGCUCAACCCAGAGUCUGCAUGGAAAACUGUCGGGCUUGAGUAUUGGAGAGGUGAGUGGAAUUUCCGGUGUAGCGGUGAAAUGCGUAGAUAUCGGAAGGAACACCUGUGGCGAAAGCGGCUCACUGGACAAUAACUGACGCUGAUGCACGAGAGCUAG
rnacentral:rRNA from 1 species